UACGUAGGGGGCUAGCGUUGCUCGGAAUCACUGGGCGUAAAGGGUGCGUAGGCGGGUCUUUAAGUCAGGGGUGAAAUCCUGGAGCUCAACUCCAGAACUGCCUUUGAUACUGGGGAUCUCGAGUCCGGGAGAGGUGAGUGGAACUGCGAGUGUAGAGGUGAAAUUCGUAGAUAUUCGCAAGAACACCAGUGGCGAAGGCGGCUCACUGGCCCGGAACUGACGCUGAGGUGCGAAAGCGUGGGGAGCAAACAGG
rnacentral:rRNA from 1 species